rnacentral:rRNA from 1 species
UACGGAGGAGGCAAGCGUUAUCCGGAAUUAUUGGGCGUAAAGCGUCCGCAGGUGGCUCGUCAAGUCUGCUGUCAAAGACCGGGGCUUAACCCUGGAAAGGCAGUGGAAACUGAUAUAGCUAGAGUGCCGUAGGGGUAGAGGGAAUUCCCGGUGUAGCGGUGAAAUGCGUAGAGUUCGGGAAGAACAUCGGUGGCGAAAGCGCUCUACUGGACGGCAACUGACACUCAGGGACGAAAGCUAGGGGAGCGAAUGGG